rnacentral:rRNA from 1 species
UACGUAGGGGGCAAGCGUUGUCCGGAUUUAUUGGGCGUAAAGAGCGUGUAGGCGGCCAGACAGGUCCGUUGUGAAAACUCGAGGCUCAACCUCGAGAUGUCGAUGGAAACCGUCUGGCUAGAGUCCGGAAGAGGAGUGUGGAAUUCCUGGUGUAGCGGUGAAAUGCGCAGAUAUCAGGAAGAACACCUAUGGCGAAGGCAGCACUCUGGGCAGGUACUGACGCUGAUGUGCGAAAGCGUGGGGAGCAAACAGG